UGAGGAAUAUUGGUCAAUGGGCGCAAGCCUGAACCAGCCAUCCCGCGUGAAGGAAGAAUGCGCUAUGCGUUGUAAACUUCUUUUCCAGGGGAAUAAAAUUUCGUACGAGUACGGGACUGAAGGUACCUUGGGAAUAAGCAUCGGCUAACUCCGUGCCAGCAGCCGCGGUAAUACGGAGGAUGCGAGCGUUAUCCGGAUUUAUUGGGUUUAAAGGGUGCGUAGGCGGAAAAAUAAGUCAGUGGUGAAAGCCUUCAGCUUAACUGGGGAAUUGCCAUUGAUACUGUUAGUCUUGAGUAUAGUUAAGGUAGGCGGAAUUUGUAAUGUAGCGGUGAAAUGCUUAGAUAUUACACAGAACACCAAUUGCGAAGGCAGCUUACUGAGCUAUAACUGACGCUGAUGCACGAAAGCGUGGGGAGCGAACA
rnacentral:rRNA from 1 species